AAAUUAAGUAAAGCAUCAAAUAAAAACAAUUUAAAAAUAUGAUUUUCAAUAGAAAUUUAGAAAUUUGCAACAUGAUUGACUCUACUCAUAGAACACGAGCUAAAGGAAAUGUUUAUUCCUGAACAGCCCAGGUCCAGGUGGUGAAGGCGCAGGUCUCAACACAGCUCCUACUGCGAGAUGGGAAACCUACUGGAGGAAGUUUGGCUGCUGUCUAUCCCUGCCUCUAGAGCAGGUAUACUUGUUGGAAUGUGAGUGGCCCUCACAGGCUCACAUAUCUAAAUGCUUGUUCCAGCUGGUGAAACUGUUUGGGAAGGAUUAGGAGGUGUGGCCUUGUUGGAGGAGGUAUAUCACUGGGGUGGGCUUUGAGGUGUAAAGGCCCAUGCCAGACCCAGUCUCCCUCUCUCUGUCUGCAACUUGAGGAUAAGAUGUGAGGUUCUCAGCUACUGCUACGGCAUCAUGCCUGCCUGCCUGCCUGCCUGCCUGCCUGCUGCUACACUCCUUCACAAUGAAGAUCAUGGACUCACCCUCUGAAACUGUAAGCAAGCCUCCAUUUAAAUGUUUUAUUUUACAAGUUGCCUUGGUCAAGGUGUAUACUUAUGGUAAUAGAACAGUGACAAAGAGGGCAGGCUAUUUCUUUCUUUCCUUUUUUGGGUGGGGAGGGAGUUGAAGACAGAGUUUCCCUGUGUAAUAGCCCUCGCUAUCCUGAAACUUACUCUUUAGUGCAGACUGGCUUAGAGCUCACAGGGAUCCGCCUGCGUUUGCAUUCUGAGUGCUGGGAUUAAAGGCAUGUGCCACUAUAUCUGCUAUUUCUAUUAGACUAUAUGUAGCAAAAACAAAACAAAACAAAAAACAGGAACAGUGUCCUCAGAGUUAUACUAUUACUAGCACACACCAAAGUCUAUGAUAUAAGUAACAUAUCUCUAAACAAAAUGGAGAAUUCAGUUAAAAAAUGGCUUAUCUUUCUCUGAUUCCAAAAAAUCUAUUUAACAUGUUUUUUAAAAUAAAAGAUCUUACUUCAAACAAGAUAAUCAACAAUAUCAAAGAAACAAAUGAUUAUUUCAUAGAAAAUAGACAUCUCUAGUUUUAAUGUUAUUUUUUACUUGCUUUUUAAAAAGACUUUAUUCCUAAUUGUGUCUAUGUGUGUGUUAGUGUGAGGGUACACAUUAGAAUUGGCACACCUGAGUACAACUGUACUGAAGCACAGAAGAGUCAGAUACCCUUGAGCUAGAUUUACAGGCAGCUGUGAACUGCCCAACAAGGAUACUAGGUUCCAAAUUCUUGCUUUUUAAAAGAGCAGCAACUUCUUCUGGACCUUCACCAGUUUAAUUGGAAAAGUAUUUUCAGACUAUAAUUUUGCAAAAUAUAAUUUCUAUUUUCCUGUUAACAAGAAGCAGGGCAGAGUAAAUUUUCACAACUUAAUCAGGCCAUUUCUCUAAUUGUGCUUCUUCCCAUUACCUCCAACUACUGGAACCUGCCAAACUGAAAGAAAGCAUUACUAGUGGUGGAACAUCACAGGUCCCCAUUCAUACUGCAAGGGGUUUUCAAACCAGAUGGCAUACUCUCCCCGAUGACCACGGGCACAAAAAUUCUCAAUAAAAUACUUUUAAACCAAACUCAAGAACACAUCAAAAAGAUCUUACAGCAUAAUCAAAUACGUUUCAUCCCAGAAAUGUAGGAAUGGUUCAACAGAUAUAAGUCAGUAAAUGUAACCCACUACAUAAUCAGACUCAAACACAAACCAUGUUUUGUUUUUAAACAUGAGCAUGUUAUUAGAUGCAGAAAAAGCCUCUGACAAAAUCAAAAUCCCUUUAUGAUAAAAGUCCUGGAAAGACUAGUGAUAUAGGGGAACAUAUUGAGAUAAUAAAGGUAAUAUGCACAACAAAUCCAUAUUCAACACGAUGUGAACAAGAGAAAAACUCAAAGCAAUGCAAAUCAGGAAUGAAAGAAGGAUGUUUACCCUCUCUGUACCUAUUUCAAGUAGUGUAUGAAGUCUUAGAGCAAAUGACAAGUAAAGAUGAUAAGGGAGAUAUAGACAGAAAAGGAAAAAGUCAAAAUAUUAUUACCGAUGACACAACUCUCUACAUGCAAGACCCUAAGGAUGCUACUAGGAAAUUCCAAAAGCUGAUGAAUACAUUCAGCAAAUUAUCAGGAUACACACAAAACUCAGCAGCCUUCCUAUAUAUGAUUAACAA